UAAUACGGAGGGUGCAAGCGUUAUCCGGAUUCACUGGGUUUAAAGGGUGCGUAGGCGGGCUUGUAAGUCAGUGGUGAAAGCCCGGGGCUUAACUCCGGAACUGCCGUUGAUACUGCAAGCCUUGAGUACAGUUGAGGUGGGCGGAAUACAUCAUGUAGAGGUGAAAUUCUUAGAUAUGAUGUAGAACACCGAUUGCGAAGGCAGCUCACUAAAGUGUAACUGACGCUGAGGCACGAAAGCGUGGGGAUCAAACAGGAUUAGAUACCCUGGUAGUCCACGCCCUAAACGAUGUUCACUCGACAUUAGCGAUAUACUGUUAGUGUCUAAGCAAAAGCGUUAAGUGAACCACCUGGGGAGUACGUCCGCAAGGAUG
rnacentral:rRNA from 1 species